rnacentral:antisense_RNA from 1 species
CUUCAGCGACCCCAGCCACAGCGGCUCGUCCCGCUCACGCCCGUAGGUCGCCAGCAACGCCUGCGCCUC